UCUAAGUAUAAAUGUUAUACAGUGAAACUGCGAAUGGCUCAUUAAAACAGUUAUAGUUUAUUUGAUAAUCGAAUUUACAUGGAUAACCGUGGUAAUUCUAGAGCUAAUACAUGCUGGUUAGCCUGACUUUUAGGAAGGGCUGUAUUUAUUAGAUAACAAACCAAUAUUCCUCGUGUCUAUUGUGAUGACUCAUAAUAACUGAUCGAAUCGCAUGGGCCUUGCCCGCGAUACAUCAUUCAAGUUUCUGCCCCAUCAGCUUUCGAUGGUAGUGUAUUGGACUACCAUGGCUUUAACGGGUAACGGAGGAUUAGGGUUCGAUUCCGGAGAGGGAGCCUGAGAAACGGCUACCACAUCUAAGGAAGGCAGCAGGCGCGUAAAUUACCCAAUCCUGACUCAGGGAGGUAGUGACAAGAAAUAACGGACCGAGGCUUUUGCUUCGGGAUUGCAAUGAGUAGAAUUUAAACCCCUUUACGAGGAUCAAUUGGA
rnacentral:rRNA from 1 species